rnacentral:rRNA from 1 species
GUAGUCAUAUGCUUGUCUCAAAGAUUAAGCCAUGCAUGUCUAAGUAUAAGCAAUCUAUACCGUGAAACUGCGAAUGGCUCAUUAAAUCAGUUAUCGUUUAUUUGAUAGUACCUUACUACUUGGAUAACCGUGGUAAUUCUAGAGCUAAUACAUGCUAAAAACCUCGACUUCGGAAGGGGUGUAUUUAUUAGAUAAAAAACCAAUGCCCUUCGGGGCUCCUUGGUGAUUCAUAAUAACUUAACGAAUCGCAUGGCCUUGUGCCGGCGAUGGUUCAUUCAAAUUUCUGCCCUAUCAACUUUCGAUUGUAGAGUAGUGGUCUACAAUGGUUUCAACGGGUAACGGGGAAUUAGGGUUCUAUUCCGGAGAGGGAGCCUGAGAAACGGCUACCACAUCCAAGGAAGGCAGCAGGCGCGCAAAUUACCCAAUCCCGACACGGGGAGGUAGUGACAAUAAAUACUGAUACAGGGCUCUUUUGGGUCUUGUAAUUGGAAUGAGUACAAUUUAAAUCCCUUAACGAGGAACAAUUGGAGGGCAAGUCUGGUGCCAGCAGCCGCGGUAAUUCCAGCUCCAAUAGCGUAUAUUAAAGUUGUUGCAGUUAAAAAGCUCGUAGUUGAACCUUGGGCCUGGCUGGCCGGUCCGCCUCACCGCGUGCACUGGUCCGGCCGGGUCUUUCCUUCUGAGGAGCCGCAUGCCCUUCACUGGGUGUGUCGGGGAAUCAGGACUUUUACUUUGAAAAAAUUAGAGUGUUCAAAGCAGGCCUAAGCUCGAAUACAUUAGCAUGGAAUAAUAGAAUAGGACGUGUGGUUCUAUUUUGUUGGUUUCUAGGACCGCCGUAAUGAUUAAUAGGGAUAGUCGGGGGCAUCAGUAUUCAAUUGUCAGAGGUGAAAUUCUUGGAUUUAUUGAAGACUAACUACUGCGAAAGCAUUUGCCAAGGAUGUUUUCAUUAAUCAGUGAACGAAAGUUAGGGGAUCGAAGACGAUCAGAUACCGUCGUAGUCUUAACCAUAAACUAUGCCGACUAGGGAUCGGGCGAUGUUAUCUUUUUGACUCGCUCGGCACCUUACGAGAAAUCAAAGU